UACGUAGGGUGCAAGCGUUAAUCGGAAUUACUGGGCGUAAAGCGUGCGCAGGCGGUUUUGUAAGUCUGUCGUGAAAUCCCCGGGCUCAACCUGGGAAUUGCGAUGGAGACUGCAAGGCUAGAAUCUGGCAGAGGGGGGUAGAAUUCCACGUGUAGCAGUGAAAUGCGUAGAGAUGUGGAGGAACACCGAUGGCGAAGGCAGCCCCCUGGGUCAAGAUUGACGCUCAUGCACGAAAGGCGCGGGGAGCA
rnacentral:rRNA from 1 species